GGGAUCUGGGGCCUACGUGAAAGAAUGUGUCUGGGCUCGGGGCCAAAGAUGGCCACUUUGACCCUGACCCCAAGGCACAAGUUAAUAAGAAAAUGUCCUGUGUCAUGUUCUUUGUCUGGGCUGGCCACCCCAAAGAGGCACCUGACCGGACUAUAGAAACAUGCCAUCUGUGGGAACAAGAGGAAAUAACUCAAAGUAUCUAAAUGUCUGAAACCCUGAGUCAGAACCAAGAAAACAGUAGAAUAAUAGGGAGUCACAGGCAUAGAACAAUUGGGAGUCUCAGUGAGGAGCCGAUGCUUUGCCUCAGACCCGGACAAUUGGCACUCCCGCCUGCCAUACAAACCAUUGGGACGUCCCCGGCUGAUUGUGGUGUGGAUGUUUGCCUGACAACACUUCAAAUGGGGGGUGCUCUAUAUGCCUGGGUUCUGGAAUAAGGAGGACUCAGCAGAACCCCCAGCUGACUCAUGAUAGGUGAGUCAAGUCUACCAGGUGGAGAAGACAGCUGAGAGUACCUCAUGCAGAGAGAGCAUUGUGUAAAAAGGCACAAAGAAGUCUGAGGACACCAAGGUGGGAAUGUAACAUAGCUUGAGCGGAGUGAAGCUUCAAGAAUGAACCUGGAGGAGCAAGUUGGGACUCAUUCAUAAGGAAGAAAAAGAAUGCCUUCGAGGAAGAUACAAUCACAGAUAACCAGCCCCCAGCUGCCACUGAUGCCCAGAAGUCUGAUUGCCCAGGGGCUUCUCUGGAGUGAAAGAAACACAGAUUACCCCUUUGUUUCUCCAAAACUCCUUCUGCCAAGCCCCUUUGGCAGAAACCACCCGCUGCUUUCUUCUCUCAUUAAGGUGGAUUUGUGAGAGCCUAUCCUCCCACCUUCUCUUUUGGCCAAUUCAGCUAGAUGUUCCUCCAUCCCUGAGUGCUGAGGUCUCAGUGAUUGGUUGACUGCAUCGCAUGCGAACUCCAGGUUAAGAGGUUCGCUAUCAAAAUGACUAGAGUUUAACCUUUGUCAAGGAAGUGAUUUGGAAUCAGUGAAGGUUUUCGAAUAGGAGAUUCUCCCUGUCCCAUUAUCUUUUGGGAAGAUUACUUAGACUUUAGUGUGGAGGCAGGAUGGAAGAAGGGGAGGUGGUUAAGACUUAGACAUGGAGAAAGUUUGGAGAGGGACUUUUCUUAUAGCAUAGGAAAGGAGAGAUGAGGACAUGAACUUUGGUGACAUUAAUGUUUUAUCAUUACAACACUAACAUUUUGGUAGAGAAAAUAUGAAAUUGGGUAGAGAAAAUAUGAAAUUGUGAUUAAGAACUUGGCUCUGAAACUAGGUAUGACAAAGAGAUUGCCACAUAUUGAGGUAUACGGGGUAACUAUUUGAGUUCAAAACUGAGCCAGCUUGAACUAAAAACCCUGACUUAUGGCCUAUCAAAGAUACAUUGUACAUCUGCUUAACCAUUAAAGUAAAGAAUGCACUCUCUUAAGAUAAGAAAGCAUACUUCCAGGUCGGCCUGAUGGCGCAGUGGUUAAGUUUACAUCUGCUUCCGUGGCCUGGGGUUUGCCAGUUCAGAUCCUACGUGCGUACCUAUGCACCACUUGUCAAGCCAUGCUGUGGCAGGCAUCCCACAUAUAAAGUAGAGGAAGAUGGGCACGAAUGUUAGCUCAAGGUUAAUCUUCCUCAAAAAAAAAAAAAAAAGAAUGCAUACUUCCCCUCUUACGCCCUAUUGGUAAUGCCAGGCUUAGUCCCUUUCCUGGCAUCAUGGUCAUGUUGACACGCUAAUUUGCAACUGAAUACCUCUUAGAAAAUUUAUCCUGGGUGUGUUUAAUGUAUCUUCUUUGUCCUAAAAAGAUAUAACACUGUACUGAAACCCAUACUUCUCUGCAACACCUUCUAAGGCCUCCCUCGGUUAUAAUCCUCACUCUGGCUCUUAAUAAACUCACCUCAAUUUUGACUUAUAAAUUGGUUGUGGAUUAUUUGCGUUGACAGGUAGAACCUAGUUUAAAACCCACUUUUGCCUCUACCUGGCUUUAUUACCAGGGCAAGAGUUCCUCAACCUCUUGGCUUCAAAUUUUUCUUUGAAAAUUAAAAUGAUAAUAACAUCUCUUUUUUUAGGUCAUUGUGAGGCUUUCAUUGGAUCAUGCACAUAAAGCACUUAGCAUGAGCCUGGCACAAAGUAAGUGCUCCAUAGGCAGAGGUACAGUGAUCAUGAUGAUAGUGAUAUUGUGGGAAACGGUGUGUGAGACGUAGAUUCAAGUUAGUUCUUCUCAAUCUUAUUCAAUGGUGCAGUGGAAUUCUGGAAACAGAAGAGUCUGAGUCUCAGUACUAUCACUCAUAGCAGUGUCACUUUUGGAAAAGACAGCUGACUUUUUUCUUUUUACUACUUUUUUUAAGAAGACCAUUUCUUUUUAGAGCAGAUUUAGGUUCACAGUAAAAUUAAAAGGAAGGUACAGAGAGUUCCCAUAUACUUCCUAGCCCCACACGUGAACAGCCUCCUGCAUUAUCAACACCCCACACCAAAGUGGUACUUUUGUUCAAUUGAUGGACCUCUGUUGACACAUCACACUCACCCAAAGCCCGUAGUUUACAUUAGGGUUCUCUCUUGGUGUUGUCCAUUCUAUGGGUUUAGAUGAAUGUACAAUGACAUGUAUUUAUCAUUCUAGUAUCAUACAGAGUAUUUUUACUGUCCCCAAAAUCCUCUGUGUUCCACCCAUUCAUUCCUCCAUCUCCACUAACCCCUGGCAACACAGAUCUCGUUACUGGUUCCUUAGUUUUGCCUUUUCCAGGAUGUCAUAUAGUUGGAAUCAUACAGCAUGUAGCCUUUUCAGAUUGGAUUCUUUCACUAGUAAUACGCAUUUAAGAUUCCUCCAUAUCUUUUUCUGGCUUGACAGCUCAUUUAUUUUUAGUGCUGAAUAAUAUUCCAUUGUCUGGAUGUACCACCAUUUAAUUAUCCAUUCACCUACUGAAGGACAUCUCGGUUGCUUCCAAGUUUUGGCAAUUAUGAGUAAAACUGCUGUAAACAUCUGUGAAGUUUUUGUGUGGAUAUAAUUUUAUAGUUUAAAUCCUUUGACUAAAUACCAAAGAACAUCAUGCACUUGAUUGUAUGUUGAGAGUAUGUUUAGUUUUGUAAGAAACCCCCAACUGUUUCCCAAAGUGGUUGUACCAUUUUGCAUUCCCACCAGCAAUGAAUGAGAGUACCUGAUGCUCCACAUCCUCACCAGCGCUUGAUGUCAGUGUUCUGGGUUUUUGCUAUUCUAAUAGGUGUGCGCAGCAGUAUCUUACUAUUGUGUAAUAAUUUGCAUUUCCCUGUGGCGUAUGACACGGAGCAUCUCUUCAUGUGCUUAUUUUCUAUCUGCACAUCUUCUUUGGUGAACUGUCUGCUAAAAUCUUUGGCUCGUUUUUCAAUCGGGAAGACAACCAACUGUUAUGAAGCCCAGUUUCCCUAUCCACAAAAUGGGGGCCUUGCUGCUGGCACCGUCUCCAUCACAGGCUGUUGAGAGCUUCAAGGCGGCUUGCUGGCUUUGAUGAACAAGCUGCCUUAUUGGAGAGGCCCAUGUGGUAAGGAACUGAGGGUGACCUCAGGCUAGCAGCCAACAAGAAAUGAGGCCCUCCGUCCAACAGCUGUCACGGGACUGAAUCUUGCCAACAAAUGGUUUUAUACGUGGGACGCCUACCACAGCAUGGCUGCCAAGCAGUCCGCACCCGGGAUCCGAACCAGCGAACACCGGGCUGCCGAGAAGCUGAACGUGCGAACUUAACCGCUGCGCCACCGGGCCGGCCCCGCUAAAAU
rnacentral:lncRNA from 1 species